rnacentral:misc_RNA from 1 species
AAUAGUUAUUACCAUAAACACUACUCUUCCCAGUUUCAAAAUAAAAUUAAUGGUCCAAGACUGAUAGCUUGCUAUUCUUAUCAUCGUCUUUAUGUUCUUUUGACCUUUGGGUGUGGCUGUAUUCAUUCGUAGCAUAAUUGUCCAAGAAUAAGAUAGGGAGGAAAGAUUAAAUGAAACAAUAAGAAGGUCAAAGAAAAAGUUAAUCUGUUCAGAACUGUAAUAUUUUAUAUUAAAAAAAGGUGAAAU